rnacentral:rRNA from 1 species
UACGUAGGGUGCAAGCGUUAAUCGGAAUUACUGGGCGUAAAGCGUGCGCAGGCGGUUAUGUAAGACAGUUGUGAAAUCCCCGGGCUCAACCUGGGAACUGCAUCUGUGACUGCAUGGCUAGAGUACGGCAGAGGGGGAUGGAAUUCCGCGUGUAGCAGUGAAAUGCGUAGAUAUGCGGAGGAACACCGAUGGCGAAGGCAGCUCUCUGGGACGGUACUGACGCUGAGACGCGAAAGCGUGGGGAGCGAACAGG